CGGACGGGUGAGUAACGUGUGGAUAACCUGCCGUAUACUGGGGGAUAACACUUAGAAAUAGGUGCUAAUACCGCAUAAGCGCACAGUCUCGCAUGAGACGGUGUGAAAAACUCCGGUGGUAUACGAUGGAUCCGCGUCUGAUUAGCUUGUUGGCGGGGUAACAGCCCACCAAGGCGACGAUCAGUAGCCGGCCUGAGAGGGUGAACGGCCACAUUGGGACUGAGACACGGCCCAAACUCCUACGGGAGGCAGCAG
rnacentral:rRNA from 1 species